rnacentral:rRNA from 1 species
GAUCGCACGGUCCUAGUACCGGCGACAUAUCCUUCAAAUGUCUGACUUAUCAGCCGUCGAUGGUAGACUCUAUGUCUACCAUGGCGCUCACGGGUGACGGGGAAUCAGGGUUCGAUUCCGGAGAGGGAGCCUGAGAAACGGCUACCACAUCCAAGGAAGGCAGCAGGCACGCAAAUUACCCACUCCCGGUACGGGGAGGUAGUGACAAAAAAAUAACGAUACGGGACUCAUCCGAGGCCCCGUAAUCGGAAUGAGAACAUCCCAAAUCCUUUAACGAGGAUCUAUUGGAGGGCAAGUCUGGUGCCAGCAGCCGCGGUAAUUCCAGCUCCAAUAGCGUAUAUUAAAGUUGUUGCGGUUAAAAAGCUCGUAGUUGGUUCUGCGUGCCGCGCUGUCGGUUCACCGCCUGUCGGUGCAACUGGCAUGCCGCGGCACGUCCUGUCGGUGGCGGAAAGGCUGUGCGGCGCGCACUACGCGGUAUACCAACGCGUAGGUCGCUGCGCCGCGUAGUCCUGUACGCCGGCUCAAUCCUACCGCGGUGCUCUUCACCGAGUGUCGAGGUAGGCCGACAAUGUUUACUUUGAACAAAUUAGAGUGCUCAAAGCAGGCUAUUAAAUCAGCCAGAAUAGUGGUGCAUGGAAUAAUGAAAAAGGACCUUGGUUCUAUUUUGUUGGUUUCCGGAAUCCAAGGUAAUGAUCAAUAAGGACAGGCGGGGGCAUUCGUAUUGCGGCGUUAGAGGUGAAAUUCUUGGAUCGUCGCAAGACGCACUAGAGCGAAAGCAUUUGCCAAGUAUGUCUUAAUUGAUCAAGAACGAAAGUUAGAGGCUCGAAGGCGAUCAGAUACCGCCCUAGUUCUAACCAUAAACGAUGCCAGCCAGUGAUCCGCCGAUGUUCCUCCGAUGACUCGGCGGGGAGCUUUCCCCGGGAAACCAAAAGCUUUUGGGUUCCGGGGGAAGUAUGGUUGCAAAGCUGAAACUUAAAGGAAUUGACGGAAGGGCACCACCAGGAGUGGA